GACGAACGCUGGCGGCGUGCUUAACACAUGCAAGUCGAACGGAAAGGCCCUGCUUUUGUGGGGUGCUCGAGUGGCGAACGGGUGAGUAACACGUGAGUAACCUGCCCUUGACUUUGGGAUAACUUCAGGAAACUGGGGCUAAUACCGGAUAGGAGCUCCUGCUGCAUGGUGGGGGUUGGAAAGUUUCGGCGGGUGGGGAUGGACUCGCGGCUUAUCAGCUUGUUGGUGGGGUAGUGGCUUACCAAGGCUUUGACGGGUAGCCGGCCUGGGAGGGUGACCGGCCACAUUGGGACUGAGAUACGGCCCAGCCUCCUCCGGGAGGCAGCAGUGGGGAAUAUUGCACAAUGGGCGGAAGCCUGAUGCAGCAACGCCGCGUGCGGGAUGACGGCCUUCGGGUUGUAAACCGCUUUCGCCUGUGACGAAGCGUGAGUGACGGUAAUGGGUAAAGAAGCACCGGCUAACUACGUG
rnacentral:rRNA from 1 species